UUCUGGAACUGGUGAGGAGAUUCCAAGGCUCCUAUCAUUUCACUCUGCUUUUAAGUGGAUUGGCUUUAUGUCUCAUGGAUCCAAGAUGGCUGACAUCAUGUCUUCCAGGCAUCAUGUCUUCUUUCCAGAAGAAAAGAAAGUGGAAGAAGAAAAAUGAAGCUGUAUCUGUUUAGAAAAGCAAAAGUUUUCCAAAAGCUUCCAGAGAGCAGUUACAGGCAGGCGGCUGCGACUGGCGCGCUAAGCGCAGGUGAGAGGAGCCACCCCACGUCCGACGUCAGGGGCAGAAGCCGGGAGGCCCCAUGCCCGAAGGGCGGCGGCCAAGAGGAGUUACCCCACGUCCGAGGUCAGGGGCAGCGGCCUAGAGUACCAGACUGCAACGGCACAGGAACUGCCGAGAGGAGCUACCCCGCGUCCGCGGUCAGGGGGGGCGGCCGAGAGGAGAUACCCAGCGUCCGAGGUCAGGGGCGGUGGGCGGGAGGAGCUACCCCACGCCCCCAUGCCCGAGGCCAGGGGCGGCGGCGGAGGGAGCAACCCCACGUUCAAGGAGCCGUGGCUGCGCGGGCGCAGGAGGGCCUAGAGGAGCUAUCCCACGUUGAAGGUCAGGAGGGGCGGCGGUGAGGAGAUACCCCUCAUCCAAGGUAAGGAGCAAUGGCUGCACUUUGCUGGAGCAGCCCUGAAGAGAUACCCCACGCCCAAGGUAAGAGAAACCCAAGUAAGACGG
ensembl:lncRNA